AUGACGAAGGCAAAUUCAUCUGGCUCGAGAGUUGAUGGCGGCGGAGGAAAGAUAGUUGGGGAAGCGGGGCGGAUAGCGGAGGUGGAGGCGGCUGAGGCUGCGGGAGGGAGCAAACCAAAUCGGGAGGAAUCACUAGAUGAGAAGUUGAAGUAUCUGAAUCUUAGGGAAGAAGAAGAGGAAGAUGUGAUCUUGGAGGAAGACAUAGAGGAACUAGAGAAGGAUGCAGAGUUCAUGGCGCUAGCCCGGGUGCAUACCUCAAGAAAAUUCAGUCAUGGGGCUUUCUAUGGAACGAUGAGAUCGGCAUGGAAUCUGGCACAGGAAGUAGAGUUCAGAGCUAUAGAAGAUAACAUGUUCUCUGUACAGAUCGCAUGCUUGGCGGACUGGGAGGGAGUUAUGCUUGAAGGACCAUGGAUCUUUCGGAAUUGUCCAGUGCUGCUUGCCCCAUAUGAUGGAUGGUCAGAACCAAGCGAGGUAGAGUUAAAUACCUACCAGGUGUGGGUGAGGGUGAUGGGUUUGAAGGAGAAGAUGAGGAGUGCAAACAUAGCUCGUCAGUUGGCAAGGAAGGCAGGGAUGGUGGAAAGAGUUGAUGAACGAUCUGUUAAGGGCCAAGGUGGGGGCAUUAGAGUACGUGUAACUUUAGACGUACGAAAGCCCCUCACUAGAUGUGCUAGUCUGACGCUGAGGAUGAAGAAAGUGUAUUUUGAUUUUGAAUAUGAAAAGAUGCCAUGGUUUUGUGGAGUUUGCGGGUUGGUAGGUCAUGUGGCAAAGGAACAUGGAAUGGGGUUCAUGAGGAGUCUGCUAUUAUUUACCCCAUUACUCUGA
rnacentral:rRNA from 1 species